GACGAACGCUGGCGGCGUGCUUAACACAUGCAAGUCGAACGGAAAGGCCCUGCUUUUGUGGGGUGCUCGAGUGGCGAACGGGUGAGUAACACGUGAGUAACCUGCCCUUGACUUUGGGAUAACUUCAGGAAACUGGGGCUAAUACCGGAUAGGAGCUCCUGCUGCAUGGUGGGGGUUGGAAAGUUUCGGCGGUUGGGGAUGGACUCGCGGCUUAUCAGCUUGUUGGUGGGGUAGUGGCUUACCAAGGCUUUGACGGGUAGCCGGCCUGAGAGGGUGGCCGGCCACAUUGGGACUGAGAUACGGCGCAGACUCCAACGGUAGGCAGCAGUGGAGAAUAUUGCACAAUGGGCGGAAGCCUGAUGCAGCAACGCCGCGUGCGGGAUGACGGCCUUCGGGUUGUAAACCGCUUUCGCCUGUGACGAAGCGUGAGUGACGGUAAUGGGUAAAGAAGCACCGGCUAACUACGUG
rnacentral:rRNA from 1 species